AGCGUAGGCGGCGAAACAAGUUAGGAGUGAAAUCCCGAGGCUUAACCUCGGAACUGCUUUUAAAACUGUUUGCUUGAGUGAUGGAGAGGAAAGUGGAAUUCCUAGUGUAGCGGUGGAAUGCGUAGAUAUUAGGAGGAACACCAGAGGCGAAGGCGACUUUCUGGACAUUAACUGACGCUGAGGCUCGAAAGCGUGGGGAGCAAACA
rnacentral:rRNA from 1 species